UGGACUCAUUGAAGGGAGAUGGACCAAUAAGGACUGGCUGGAAAAAUCAAGAAUUAACUCUGAAAAUAGGAGCAAAACUACAGGCAAACAUAGAUGCGGGACAAAGGCACUUGCUGUUAGAGUUGAUGAGGAGACAAAUAAUAAUGACGGUCAAGUUCCUGAAUUGGCAAAAAUCUACAAAGAUGUUCAUUUCAAUC